rnacentral:rRNA from 1 species
GUCCUAUCAUGCAGGUCGAACGCUUCUUUCCUCCCGAGUGCUUGCACUCAAUUGGAAAGAGGAGUGGCGGACGGGUGAGUAACACGUGGGUAACCUACCCAUCAGAGGGGGAUAACACUUGGAAACAGGUGCUAAUACCGCAUAACAGUUUAUGCCGCAUGGCAUAAGAGUGAAAGGCGCUUUCGGGUGUCGCUGAUGGAUGGACCCGCGGUGCAUUAGCUAGUUGGUGAGGUAACGGCUCACCAAGGCCACGAUGCAUAGCCGACCUGAGAGGGUGAUCGGCCACACUGGGACUGAGACACGGCCCAGACUCCUACGGGAGGCAGCAGUAGGGAAUCUUCGGCAAUGGACGAAAGUCUGACCGAGCAACGCCGCGUGAGUGAAGAAGGUUUUCGGAUCGUAAAACUCUGUUGUUAGAGAAGAACAAGGACGUUAGUAACUGAACGUCCCCUGACGGUAUCUAACCAGAAAGCCACGGCUAACUACGUGCCAGCAGCCGCGGUAAUACGUAGGUGGCAAGCGUUGUCCGGAUUUAUUGGGCGUAAAGCGAGCGCAGGCGGUUUCUUAAGUCUGAUGUGAAAGCCCCCGGCUCAACCGGGGAGGGUCAUUGGAAACUGGGAGACUUGAGUGCAGAAGAGGAGAGUGGAAUUCCAUGUGUAGCGGUGAAAUGCGUAGAUAUAUGGAGGAACACCAGUGGCGAAGGCGGCUCUCUGGUCUGUAACUGACGCUGAGGCUCGAAAGCGUGGGGAGCAAACAGGAUUAGAUACCCUGGUAGUCCACGCCGUAAACGAUGAGUGCUAAGUGUUGGAGGGUUUCCGCCCUUCAGUGCUGCAGCAAACGCAUUAAGCACUCCGCCUGGGGAGUACGACCGCAAGGUUGAAACUCAAAGGAAUUGACGGGGGCCCGCACAAGCGGUGGAGCAUGUGGGUUUAAUUCGAAGCAACGCGAAGAACCUUACCAGGUCUUGACAUCCUUUGACCACUCUAGAGAUAGAGCUUUCCCUUCGGGGACAAAGUGACAGGUGGUGCAUGGUUGUCGUCAGCUCGUGUCGUGAGAUGUUGGGUUAAGUCCCGCAACGAGCGCAACCCUUAUUGUUAGUUGCCAUCAUUUAGUUGGGCACUCUAGCGAGACUGCCGGUGACAAACCGGAGGAAGGUGGGGAUGACGUCAAAUCAUCAUGCCCCUUAUGACCUGGGCUACACACGUGCUACAAUGGGAAGUACAACGAGUCGCUAGACCGCGAGGUCAUGCAAAUCUCUUAAAGCUUCUCUCAGUUCGGAUUGCAGGCUGCAACUCGCCUGCAUGAAGCCGGAAUCGCUAGUAAUCGCGGAUCAGCAUCGCCGCGGUGAAUACGUUCCCGGGCCUUGUACACACCGCCCGUCACACCACGAGAGUUUGUAACACCCGAAGUCGGUGAGGUAACCUUUUGGAGCCAGCCGCCUAAGUGA